GGUUAAGCGACUAAGCGUACACGGUGGAUGCCCUGGCAGUCAGAGGCGAUGAAGGACGUGCUAAUCUGCGAUAAGCGUCGGUAAGGUGGUAUGAACCGUUAUAACCGGCGAUUUCCGAAUGGGGAAACCCAGUGUGUUUCGACACACUAUCAUUAACUGAAUCCAUAGGUUAAUGAGGCGAACCGGGGGAACUGAAACAUCUAAGUACCCCGAGGAAAAGAAAUCAACCGAGAUUCCCCCAGUAGCGGCGAGCGAACGGGGAGCAGCCCAGAGCCUGAAUCAGUGUGUGUGUUAGUGGAAGCGUCUGGAAAGGCGCGCGAUACAGGGUGACAGCCCCGUACACAAAAAUGCACAUGCUGUGAGCUCGAUGAGUAGGGCGGGACACGUGGUAUCCUGUCUGAAUAUGGGGGGACCAUCCUCCAAGGCUAAAUACUCCUGACUGACCGAUAGUGAACCAGUACCGUGAGGGAAAGGCGAAAAGAACCCCGGCGAGGGGAGUGAAAAAGAACCUGAAACCGUGUACGUACAAGCAGUGGGAGCACGCUUAGGCGUGUGACUGCGUACCUUUUGUAUAAUGGGUCAGCGACUUAUAUUCUGUAGCAAGGUUAACCGAAUAGGGGAGCCGAAGGGAAACCGAGUCUUAACUGGGCGUUAAGUUGCAGGGUAUAGACCCGAAACCCGGUGAUCUAGCCAUGGGCAGGUUGAAGGUUGGGUAACACUAACUGGAGGACCGAACCGACUAAUGUUGAAAAAUUAGCGGAUGACUUGUGGCUGGGGGUGAAAGGCCAAUCAAACCGGGAGAUAGCUGGUUCUCCCCGAAAGCUAUUUAGGUAGCGCCUCGUGAAUUCAUCUCCGGGGGUAGAGCACUGUUUCGGCAAGGGGGUCAUCCCGACUUACCAACCCGAUGCAAACUGCGAAUACCGGAGAAUGUUAUCACGGGAGACACACGGCGGGUGCUAACGUCCGUCGUGAAGAGGGAAACAACCCAGACCGCCAGCUAAGGUCCCAAAGUCAUGGUUAAGUGGGAAACGAUGUGGGAAGGCCCAGACAGCCAGGAUGUUGGCUUAGAAGCAGCCAUCAUUUAAAGAAAGCGUAAUAGCUCACUGGUCGAGUCGGCCUGCGCGGAAGAUGUAACGGGGCUAAACCAUGCACCGAAGCUGCGGCAGCGACGCUUAUGCGUUGUUGGGUAGGGGAGCGUUCUGUAAGCCUGCGAAGGUGUGCUGUGAGGCAUGCUGGAGGUAUCAGAAGUGCGAAUGCUGACAUAAGUAACGAUAAAGCGGGUGAAAAGCCCGCUCGCCGGAAGACCAAGGGUUCCUGUCCAACGUUAAUCGGGGCAGGGUGAGUCGACCCCUAAGGCGAGGCCGAAAGGCGUAGUCGAUGGGAAACAGGUUAAUAUUCCUGUACUUGGUGUUACUGCGAAGGGGGGACGGAGAAGGCUAUGUUGGCCGGGCGACGGUUGUCCCGGUUUAAGCGUGUAGGCUGGUUUUCCAGGCAAAUCCGGAAAAUCAAGGCUGAGGCGUGAUGACGAGGCACUACGGUGCUGAAGCAACAAAUGCCCUGCUUCCAGGAAAAGCCUCUAAGCAUCAGGUAACAUCAAAUCGUACCCCAAACCGACACAGGUGGUCAGGUAGAGAAUACCAAGGCGCUUGAGAGAACUCGGGUGAAGGAACUAGGCAAAAUGGUGCCGUAACUUCGGGAGAAGGCACGCUGAUAUGUAGGUGAAGUCCCUCGCGGAUGGAGCUGAAAUCAGUCGAAGAUACCAGCUGGCUGCAACUGUUUAUUAAAAACACAGCACUGUGCAAACACGAAAGUGGACGUAUACGGUGUGACGCCUGCCCGGUGCCGGAAGGUUAAUUGAUGGGGUCAGCGCAAGCGAAGCUCUUGAUCGAAGCCCCGGUAAACGGCGGCCGUAACUAUAACGGUCCUAAGGUAGCGAAAUUCCUUGUCGGGUAAGUUCCGACCUGCACGAAUGGCGUAAUGAUGGCCAGGCUGUCUCCACCCGAGACUCAGUGAAAUUGAACUCGCUGUGAAGAUGCAGUGUACCCGCGGCAAGACGGAAAGACCCCGUGAACCUUUACUAUAGCUUGACACUGAACAUUGAGCCUUGAUGUGUAGGAUAGGUGGGAGGCUUUGAAGUGUGGACGCCAGUCUGCAUGGAGCCGACCUUGAAAUACCACCCUUUAAUGUUUGAUGUUCUAACGUUGACCCGUAAUCCGGGUUGCGGACAGUGUCUGGUGGGUAGUUUGACUGGGGCGGUCUCCUCCUAAAGAGUAACGGAGGAGCACGAAGGUUGGCUAAUCCUGGUCGGACAUCAGGAGGUUAGUGCAAUGGCAUAAGCCAGCUUGACUGCGAGCGUGACGGCGCGAGCAGGUGCGAAAGCAGGUCAUAGUGAUCCGGUGGUUCUGAAUGGAAGGGCCAUCGCUCAACGGAUAAAAGGUACUCCGGGGAUAACAGGCUGAUACCGCCCAAGAGUUCAUAUCGACGGCGGUGUUUGGCACCUCGAUGUCGGCUCAUCACAUCCUGGGGCUGAAGUAGGUCCCAAGGGUAUGGCUGUUCGCCAUUUAAAGUGGUACGCGAGCUGGGUUUAGAACGUCGUGAGACAGUUCGGUCCCUAUCUGCCGUGGGCGCUGGAGAACUGAGGGGGGCUGCUCCUAGUACGAGAGGACCGGAGUGGACGCAUCACUGGUGUUCGGGUUGUCAUGCCAAUGGCACUGCCCGGUAGCUAAAUGCGGAAGAGAUAAGUGCUGAAAGCAUCUAAGCACGAAACUUGCCCCGAGAUGAGUUCUCCCUGACUCCUUGAGAGUCCUGAAGGAACGUUGAAGACGACGACGUUGAUAGGCCGGGUGUGUAAGCGCAGCGAUGCGUUGAGCUAACCGGUACUAAUGAACCGUGAGGCUUAACCUU
rnacentral:rRNA from 1 species